UGAUUAGGGAUGGGAACUGAUUCGAUUUUUAGGGCUGUAAUCAACCAAAGAAAUUCUUGGCCAACUCAAACCCUGAAAUUUUCGACCAAAAAAAAAAAAGUCUGACUGCGGCAGAGGUGAAAAUAUCCUGACAUCAGCACAAGAAAGCAAUUAAACACGAUGAAAGUUGAACUGCAAAAAUAAAAAAAUAAAUACUCAGCAAACCAGCGGACGUUGAUUAACGUGGACACUCUUAAAUCUCUCUGUCUCCAGCCGGUGGAUUGGACGAAACCAAAAUGGUGAAAACAAGGGGGGUGCUCUGAGACAGGCCCCCGUUAGCACUUGCUACCUUCCUCCUGAUGAAAUUUACCAUAGACUGUAAAUUGAUGUGGGGAAAAAAUCAACUUGACCAAUCAGAAUAUUCUACCAAUAAUUUGACUCGGACUUUACAGCACUAGAGAUUUUACUGAUACCAGUGCUUUUAUAGAUUCAGUCUACUGAUGCACUUCUUCAUUUAUUCACUUUCAUCAGUCCUGCAGAUUUCUGUGAGGAAAAAGUCGACCCCGUUGUCAACAACAUAAACCUCAUCUUGACUUUCUUUGCCAUCACCGCUCUGCUGGGUUUUACAGUAGCUAAGUUGGUGAUAUUGUAAGCACAUUAUGUCAUAUGUUACCUGUGACGUUCUUGCCUCCUUGGAUGUUAUUUAUGAAGCCUGUCUUUUUGGGCAUGCCACUCCAUUUUUUUGCAAGGCGCACAGAAUUAAGCAGAUGGCUCAUCAAACUAGUUGAAACCAGAUCUCUUCCGUAACCAGUUCUUGAUUUUCAUCCCUGAUCACGAUUGCACAAGACUUUUUACAGACACAACUCACUCUUGGAUGAAAAAGGAAAUGGUAUGCAAAGCGGGUCUAAUUAAAGACCGGAUUUUACAGUGGAUUUUCUGUACCCCUGAGCUGACGCCCGGGCACAGAGUGUGUAACCACAACACUGGGGACCGGUUCAGACUACUCAGGUAUGUAGUUUCAGUUCAACCUGAGUGGGUCGUAACCCCGGAGGUUUCAGAUCAGAAAGUUAAUCUUUGGAAAUUAAUGACCUACUUUGCUGUUUAACAAAGUGGACUUGUCCAGGACUACACUCCCAUAUUUAUAAGCUUGAAUCAAGCUGCUGGUCUGCCCAUGAGAGCAGUGUGAGAAAAUGUCGAGUCAGCAUGGUUACUCCAACAUCCCUAAUGAAUUGAAUCUUUACAGUGAAAUACUGUGGCUCCUAAUCAGCAGUGACUAAGCACUUUGUCCAGAGGGAGCGGUCCUUAGCCUCCUCUCUCUUUUUUUUUUUUUUUUGCUUUUGGCACCUUUUGAUGUCUGAAUCACCAGCUGCCUCUGAGAGUGUAGCUACAGUAACUGAAGUCAACUGGCGGGAUUUUCUUCUAUUAUUUCUCACCAUGUGGGGUGUUUUGUGUGCAGAGCCAACAAAUGCAGCUGUUGGUUUCCAUCCUGGAUUCAGCUUAUAACUGUGCAGUCAUGGAGGGAAAAUUGGUAAUCUGACACUCGGUAGUUUCAUACCCUAUCAUCCUCAGACACCUCCAUUUUAUUCAGCGCAUGUCUUGCUAUACGUGUGUCUCCAUAUUUAUUUUGACCCAGAACAAAUGUGUUUGUGUAUUGUUUUCAAAUACAAAGAUAUGGCAGCAUUUUGGACAGGCCUGGGUUAAGUUUGGUUGAAAAUCGGUGAUGCUGGGCUUAUCACUGCAUCUGGGUGUCCUUGUUUUGUAAAUGUGGUUUAUUUUAAUGCAGUUUGGCCUGAGCUCUGGAGAAGAACACAAGCACUCAGUAUCUUUUGACAUAUCAUUAGGGUGACCAUAUUCUGAAUCUGAGCAAUUGAAUGCAAUCUGAGUUUUUCAGGUUGGGUAGAGUGUUUUCUGUGCGCUUCUAACUCAGUAAGUCCAUGCGACACAAACUCAAAACUUCCACACAAAACCCCGGACAUUUGAAGGAUUGUAUAAAACUGAGCAACUCCCCCGGACAAAGCCAGACAGCCCCCCCCCAAAAGAGGACAUGUCUGGGUAAAAAAGGACGUAUGGUCACUCGUCAUCAGUUUUACGAUAGCAACCACAAGCUGAAUUGCAAACCCCAAAUGGACGCCAGAAGAGCUACACAGCUGCACAUUGUGGACUUUGCAUCUAAAACCUUACUCCUAAACACAGACUCUCAUUUAAAGCGCUUGUGAUCCAUCUGAUGGUUGAAUACCGUCGAGUGGCAGUUUCAAGAUUUGCUCUAUUUCCAACAAUAUUCAAACUCAUUAAAGCAAAAAGAGAAAAAACUCCAAGGCGCUCUCUUAAUAAUAUCAAAAUGUCUUUAUUUUAAUGGCAUAGUCAUGUAGACGUUAAAAGCAAACUUUGACGUGUUUUGGCAUCAAGCCUUAUUUAGGAAGUAAAGUAAACAGAUGCUGGUUGUGGUAGGGCCUUUUAAAGGAGUGCCUUACCAAUAGGAGAUUGCCGCAUAGCCUUAGAAGUUUGACCUGCAUCUGGUGACAACUAAAAAACUAUUGGAGAAGCACUUGGAGUUUUUUCUUUCUCUUUUUGUUUCAAUGACUUUGUGAAUCCCGUUCCAAAAAGCACCUCAGACAAACUCUUUGUUGAGUCCAGGUAGCUCUCCUUUCCUUUUGUCUUUUGAGUAUUCAAACUCACUUCCAACUUUUAUACCAAGUAAACACUAAACUGAGGAAAUAUUUUUGGAAGCUCUAAAGUGGCCGAUCAAAACUGCAAAAGUGGACAGAUAACAAGAGUUUUCAAAGAGUGAGUGUAUUUAACCUGAGGUGAGACACCGAACCAAGACAAACAGAGAGUGAGUCAGAGAGCGGCCUUGGAAUCUUGAGGGGCAGCAGAUAUGGCAAAUAAACACCCCUCACAUGGACUACAUGUGCUCUUAGCAGCAGGAAACACAGACGAUCCAGCCCACUAUGAAAAAUAAAUGGUGCUGGGAAACAUACACAAACACCAAACACGCUCACACACCUGGGUACUUUUCCCAGCCGAUGGGUGCCGUUCCCUGACUUUGGGAUUAGAGUCCACUCACAUCACAGGGCUAAAUUUAAGAAGCUUGGCCCCUCAGAUUUCACGAACCGUUUGUUUCUAAUUAAGAGGAUCUGCUUUUAUAAUUUGUGAGCAUGGAGGCAACAGACGUCUGGACUAGAGGAGAAUCUUCCAGAACUGUAUUUUAACAGAUGGUUGCAUUAACGUGGUAUUUUCAUCUCCUGCAGCAGUGGUUGCCAAAACAGGGUCGAGGGAUCUGCAUUGGUCUUUCACGUGGUUUAAAUGAGCCCCCAGCAAAAUGGCUAUUAGUUAAAUAUUUACUGAAUCUAUUUCAGGCUACCAUGUGUGGGGAGGGGUGCUG
rnacentral:lncRNA from 1 species